AAGUCGUAACAAGGUUUCCGUAGGUGAACCUGCGGAAGGAUCAUUCAUAACAGGCUCAGUAUGGGGGCCCUUUUAAAUUUCCAUAUUCUUCACCUUGUGUGCAAUGUUUUUUAUUUAUCAUAUUUAAACGCUUAAAUUUUUUUUUUUAAAUUGUCUGAAAUAAAUAUUGUGAAUUUUUUUAAUUCAAAAUACAACUUUCAACAACGGAUCUCUUGGCUCUCGCAUUGAU
rnacentral:misc_RNA from 1 species